rnacentral:rRNA from 1 species
UGGGGAAUAUUGGACAAUGGGCGCAAGCCUGAUCCAGCCAUGCCGCGUGAGUGACGAAGGUCUUCGGAUUGUAAAACUCUUUUUGGCGGGGACGAUAAUGACGGUACCCGCAGAAUAAGCCCCGGCUAACUUCGUGCCAGCAGCCGCGGUAAUACGAAGGGGGCUAGCGUUGUUCGGAAUCACUGGGCGUAAAGCGCACGUAGGCGGAUGUGCCAGUCAGGGGUGAAAUCCCGGAGCUCAACUCCGGAACUGCCUCUGAUACUGCACGUCUUGAGUUCGAGAGAGGUGGGUGGAAUUCCUAGUGUAGAGGUGAAAUUCGUAGAUAUUAGGAAGAACACCGGUGGCGAAGGCGGCCCACUGGCUCGAUACUGACGCUGAGACCCGAAAGCGUGGGGAUCAAACAGGAUUAGAUACCCCCGUAGUCCCUGAGCGGGCUGGCAAGGCGCAU